rnacentral:lncRNA from 1 species
UGCCUGAGGUGCCCAAGAAAGCUGCCCCAGAAGAGAAAAAAGUACCAGUUGCUGUGCCUAAAAAACCAGAAGCUCCACCAGCUAAAGGUACACAUUAUCAUUGAUAAAAUCAUGGCAAUCAUUUAUUUUGUUCCUUCUGUUGUAACUUUUUAAAUAUUAAUUUUGAGCCAUCUUUUUCCCCACUGUAAUCUGCAAUUUUAUACAUUUCGAUUUGGGGGAUUCUCUUCUCCUCUUUAUACUUAAAUCAUUCUCAUUCAACAGUGGAGUAAAAUAGUGUGAUAUGUACUAUGUGUAAGAUCAGACUUUUAAGCCAGGCAUCAUUGAUCCUGUUUCAUGUUCUUAUUGCAGCUUUUCUGUUCUUAACUCUUUGUAUGUAUACUUGAAAUUCUUAACAUAAAAAUAAAUUAAUAUUUUUAAAGUGCCUGAGGUACCAAAGAAAGUGGUCCCAGAAGAGAAAAUACCAGUUGCUGUGCCUAAAAAACCAGAACCUCCGCCAGCUAAAGUGCCUGAGGUGCCAAAGAAAGUUGUUAUUGAAGAAAAAGUACCAGUUGAAGAGCCUGAGAAACCAGAACCUCCACCAGCUAAAGUGCCUGAGGUGUCCAAGAAAGUGGUCCCAGAAGAGAAAGUACCAGUUGCUGUACCUAAAAAAACAGAACUUCCACCAGCUAAAGUGCCUGAGGUGCCCAAGAAAGCUGUCCCAAAAGAGAAAGUGCCUGUUGCUGUACCAAAAAUACCAGAACCUCCACCAGCUAGAGGUACAUGUUAUCAUGGAUAUCAUCUUAAAGAAGAAUCUUUGUCCUAUUUUCUUUAACAUUAUCUUAACAUUUUUGUCUAGUCCACUUUUUCCUAUCUGAGAUCUGUAAAGUGUAUUCACUGAGCAAACAGUGCUGAGUGUGAAUGAGUAAUCAAAGCCUGAAUAUUGCAUCAUCAAUGUUUUUAAUAUCUCUGUGUUCUAUCUUUCAUUCUUCUUAAUGUUUUGCACACAUUUUGAUAACUGUAUAAUGAAACAAACUAAUAUCUUUAAAGUACCUGAGAUGCCUGAGAAAACUGUCCCAGAAGAGGAAGUCCCUCUGGCUGUGCCUAAGAAAACAGAACUUCCACCAGCGAAAGGUGCAUGUCAUCAAAAAUCUUUGUCUCAUUUUCUUGACCAUCAUCACUUUUCACAUACUUUGUCCUGUCCAUUUUUUGCCACCUGAGAUUUGAAAAUUCUACUUGUUGUUUGAAUUGUACUGCUGGUGUCAAAUACUUGACUCAUUUACUGUAUGUGGUCACAGGAAAUAUUUUCCUGGUCUGCUUCAUGUAUUCAGAUUGCUCAGAAUCUAAGAUUUUGUGGUUUUAAAAAGUGAAAUUAUUGUUAUGAGAAAAACUUGCCAAAUCUGAACUCAAUUUAAGGGUGUGUCUACACUGCCCCACAGUUCAGAUGAGGGGAUGAGAGUAGAAGUAUGUACCAGAGUUCUGAGCUGUAACUCCCCUGUAUUGAAGCUGCGGGCGCAAACUUAAAGGUCCCAAGUUUGCACUAUGUGAACUCAAGACUCAAGUCUCUAAGGUGCCACAAGGACUCCUCGUUUGUUUUUGCGGAUACAGACUAACACGGCUACCACUCUGAAACUUGUCAAGACUUUUAAGUUCACGUCCGCAGUAUCCACAUGGGGGAGUUACAGUGCAGCACUUUGGUCCUCACUGCUACCCACUCCCCCUAGUUCAAACUGCAGGGAAACGUAGACAUGCCCUUAACUUCUGCAGUGCUUUCUUUGUGAGUCUGAUGAUAGCCUCAAGCAAUGUAUGUGAGAGGUGUUAACUUCUCCUCUCCUGCUCCCUCUACACACCCACAUACACACUUAAAUUCACUGGGCA